rnacentral:lncRNA from 11 species
CUUGAGCAGGACACCCGGCCACUCACGCAUAGACAGCCUAAAUAAUAUCUCCCUUUUGCUUGAGUUGGCAUUGCCAGGAGGUCACUUUUGUUUGAGGGAGGAGAAGGAGAAGGAAGACUGGAGCGAGGGCGGAGUUGGGUGGGUUGGUGCGGGGCGGGAUGGCCUCUAGGGCGAUCCCUAAGUCUCUAUGGGGGGGGGGGGGCGAGGGUGCCCCCGAAUUGGGGACGGGGGCUUGGAAGCCCAUCAUCCCGGCGCCGGCAGUGGCUGCUUGGGGCGGGCGUUUGGAGCGGGGCUUCUCGGGGUGCUGACAUUUCCAGGCUGCCCUCCUGAUUGGUCCCUUCGCCGAGCUGCUCACGGGUUCACUGAAGUGUUAAGCACCUCCCCGUCUCUCUAAAGGACAUUAUAAUGCAAGAGACCCCCUUUUUAACCACACACCGAAUUUUCUUUCAUUUAGGCGAUCUAUAUAUAAAUAUAUAUAAAUAUAUAUAUAUAUUUAAGCUUUGGAGAGCUUCGACAAAGUGUAACUUUUUUUUCUUCUUAAAAAAAAGACCCCGCCAACCGCUAAAAUUUGGGGGGGAACGGCUUUCGCCCUGGAGCGGUGCGCGAUGCUCUCUCACGCCGACCUCCUGGACGCCCGGCUCGGAAUGAAGGACGCCGCCGAGCUGCUGGGCCACCGGGAGGCGGUCAAGUGCCGCCUGGGCGUCGGGGGCGCCGAGCCCGGAGGAGGCCACCCGGGAGACCUGGCCGCCAACGCCGACGCCGUGGAAGGGGCCACCAUGCUGCCCGGGGAGGACCUCGCCG